rnacentral:rRNA from 1 species
AUACGGAGGAUCCAAGCGUUAUCCGGAAUCAUUGGGUUUAAAGGGUCCGUAGGCGGCUUUAUAAGUCAGUGGUGAAAGUUUGCAGCUUAACUGUAAAAUUGCCAUUGAUACUGUAGAGCUUGAAUUUUUGUGAAGUAACUAGAAUAUGUAGUGUAGCGGUGAAAUGCUUAGAUAUUACAUGGAAUACCAAUUGCGAAGGCAGGUUACUAACAAACAAUUGACGCUGAUGGACGAAAGCGUGGGUAGCGAACAGGAUUAGAUACCCUGGUAGUCCACGCCGUAAACGAUGGAUACUAGUUGUUUGGCCGCAAGGCUGAGUGACUAAGCGAAAGUGAUAAGUAUCCCACCUGGGGAGUACGAACGCAAGUUUGAA